AGAGGAAUAUUGGUCAAUGGGCGAGAGCCUGAACCAGCCAAGUAGCGUGCAGGAUGACGGCCCUAUGGGUUGUAAACUGCUUUUAUAUGGGAAUAAAGUGAGGGACGUGUCCCUUAUUGCAUGUGCCAUACGAAUAAGGACCGGCUAAUUCCGUGCCAGCAGCCGCGGUAAUACGGAAGGUCCAGGCGUUAUCCGGAUUUAUUGGGUUUAAAGGGAGCGUAGGCUGUUUGUUAAGCGUGUUGUGAAAUGUAGGAGCUCAACUUUUAGAUUGCAGCGCGAACUGGCAGACUUGAGUGCGCACAACGUAGGCGUAAUUCAUGGUGUAGCGGUGAAAUGCUUAGAUAUCAUGACGAACUCCGAUUGCGAAGGCAGCUUACGGGAGCGCAACUGACGCUAAAGCUCGAAGGUGCGGGUAUCGAACAGG
rnacentral:rRNA from 1 species